AUUGAACGCUGGCGGCAGGCCUAACACAUGCAAGUCGAACGAGUGGCGGACGGGUGAGUAAUGUCUGGGAAACUGCCUGAUGGAGGGGGAUAACUACUGGAAACGGUAGCUAAUACCGCAUACCAUCAGAUGUGCCCAGAUGGGAUUAGCUUGUUGGUGGGGUAACGGCUCACCAAGGCGACGCUCCCUAGCUGGUCUGAGAGGAUGACCAGCCACACUGGAACGGAGACACGGGCCAGAAUCCUACGGGAGGCAGCAGGGGGGAAUAUUGGACAAGGGGCGAAAGCCGGAUGCAGCCAGGCCGCGUGUAUGAAGAAGGCCUUCGGGUUGUAAAGUACUUUCAGCGGGGAGGCGGUACCCGAAGAAGAAGCACCGGCUAACUCCGUGUCAGCCGCCGCGGUAAUAC
rnacentral:rRNA from 1 species